GAUGAAGAACGUAGCGAAAUGCGAUACGUAAUGUGAAUUGCAGAAUUCAGUGAAUCAUCGAGUCUUUGAACGCACAUUGCGCCCCCUGGUAUUCCGGGGGGCAUGCCUGUCCGAGCGUCAUUGCUGCCCUCAAGCACGGCUUGUGUGUUGGGCCUCCGUCCUACUCCCGGGGGACGGGCCCGAAAGGCAGCGGCGGCACCGCGUCCGGUCCUCGAGCGUAUGGGGCUUCGUCACCCGCUCUUGUAGGCCCGGCCGGCGCUUGCCGACACAUCAAUCUUUUUUCCAGGUUGACCUCGGAUCAGGUAGGGAUACCCGCUGAACUUAAGCAUAUCAAUAAGCGGAGGA
rnacentral:misc_RNA from 1 species